GCCGGGGUAGCUCAGUCGGUUAGAGCGCCACACUCAUAAAGUGGAGGUCGAGAGUUCAAUUCUCUCCCCCGGCA
rnacentral:tRNA from 1 species